GGAAAGCGCCGCGGUGCUGCGCGCUUUCCCCGCCCCUGGCGCGCGGCCUAUUUAACGGGAACCCGCCGGACGGCCGCUCUCUCUGCGUGCCCCGCGGCGCUGAGGAGCCGGGUGUGGCUGCAGCAGCGCGGCCGCGCCGGCAGCAAGUGAAGAGAUGAGUUCAUUACUGUCUGUGGGAAUCUCCAGUCUGGACUCUGCCAUACUGUCACCUUGCAAGCAGAAAGGUGUCACAUGAAUUCUGGAGCUACAGAAGUGCUAUGACUUCAGAUGACCUUGUCUGCAGUCUUCAAGUCUUGUGUAUGCACACACAGAUUUCAUCCACUCCUAGAAGUAUGAGUGUUUAAGAAGCUUGAAAACAGUCUGAAAUGUGGAGUUCUAAUGCACUUGGAAAUGCUUUCGUGGCCCUUCUUGCUCCUCAGAAAUACUGCUUGAAUCAAUAGUAAGGCAGAAGAGUAGCUGUUAAGUGAAAUGUGUGAAUAAGUCUUGAAUGAAGUUCAGGUGAGAGUGUUACUCCAGAAAGGGAAAUGACUUUGUGGACACUCUUAGAACUUGGUAUGAAUAUUUAAAGGUACUGAAUAAAUUGAACAAAAUCUAAUAAAUCGAUGGUCAAAACAUGUAGUAAACUUGUGUUUUCUUGUCUAAAUGAGAGUGUUUACAAUGUUAGUGGUGGCAGUCCCAAGGCAAUAUGUGUACAGAAAUCCAAGAUUGAUUCAAUUUCCAGUGACUGUAGGGUUUUUGCAUCUUUGUGAGCAGUAGCACCGUGAUCCUGCUGGAUGACAUCCUGGGUAGGAGGCACACCAAGCCUCCCAUGUUCAGCUUGUCCAGAUUUGACAGGAAGCCUGUAUAAUUUUUAUGCUGCUUUUUUUUUUUAAAUGCAGAUAUCUUAGAUAUAAAACUUGCUCAGUGUUAUGUCUGCUGCCAUAUUUUUACUAGGAGGAUAAAAUACAGGGAAGUCCAUAGUUGGAGAAGCAUGAUGUGUCUCAGACACCUCAUCUUCUACACACCACUCUUUACACUUGUUUUUGCAGUGAGGUAAAGUCAAACUUACUGAGCUGUCUACCUAUCAAGUAAUCUUUUUUUUCUUUUUUCACUUUACUGCAGGGUUCUACUAUCCCUUGUAGACUAUGUAAAGUAACGUGGAAAAACUAUGUGGGUUUUUUGUUGGUUGUGGUAUGUGGUUCUUUUGGUAUGUUGUAGUGUUUUUCGUUUGUUUUUUUUUUUUUCUCUCUGGAUUGCAGGGCUACACUAGAAACCUGGUCUAAUAUUAUGUUGCUGUGAUGUAAAACUGAGAACAUUAAACAGUAUGGUGGUACUUUUAUACCUUCUAAAAUUUAUAGAACAUGAGUCAUAAUUUAAGAAAGUUGGCUUACACUGGAACGUUUUAAUGUACUUAAAACUAUUUAUCCCUCUUUGGGUGACACAUUUUAAAAGAACAAGAAGAAAAACUACAGAGAGUUCAUGUAGUUGAAAUGAAACACUAGAAAUUAAACUCCUGGUUUAAUUGUUAGUUGUAGUCUUAUUAAAAACCUUGCUUUACUCCUGUAACUCAACAGUGGUAGCCAGGAAGUUCAGGUUGUGGCUUUAUUCUGAAAGCCUUGGAUGAAGACAUCACUCCUGACUUCAAACAGCACUGUCACAAAACUUGUAAUUGAAUCCUGUCAGCUAUGCUUUAUUCCUUAGCAAAAUAGUACUGAACUGUCUUAUAAAAAUAAUAAAACCCUUAUUAGUUGUGUAUUUCUAAUUGCAGUCUCUCAAAAAGCUGAAGUAGAAGCUUCAGGCAUUACUUACUGAGUGGAGUUUUUACUCUUCAUUAGGGUUAAUGUGAAUUCCUGGGCCAUAGGCAGCAAUAAACUUCAGCAGCUGCUGGUGACACUGCAUGAGGUAACUAUCUCUCUGUUGCAAGGAGUUUUCAUCACUGAGGUCAAAUGGAAAUACAGGAUUUGGUGCAAUGCAUAAUGCAGACUUGCCUAAGCAAAGACCAAAAAAAAAAACAAAAAAAACAAUCAAGAUUUUUGCCGAAAGACUUCAUAAUCUUGCCAGGACUUUGAAGGAAAAGCAUCUGUGACACAGAUUGAAAUUGUAACAUAUAAGAUAGCUUUACUAAGUGUUAACAUGAUAAUUCUUGACUCACUGCUGAAUUUGUGUACACAUGUGACUGUGAUGCGAGAUAAACAACAAAAAAAUCCUCAACCUUUGUCUUCUGUUUUCUCAGGGAGGGUAAUCUGUCUUCAGUUUAACCUGGGCCUGAAAUAAGCCAGCAUAAAGGAUGGAGGUGCAGUGUGGGCCUGCGGCUUAACCAUGUACAUCACUGAGGCUCUCUGCCUUCUCUUCCACUGUCUUCCACAGUGGAAAUUCUGGACUUUCAUUUGAAAUGACAAUUAUUUCAAACAAUUGAUAAAACCUGUCAAAUAGACAAAGUAUCAACACUGUUACCAAGACUAAAGACUGAGUUACGUUAUUUACCAUGUUUUAGGGUAAGAGAUGAUUCGAGUAACAAGAUGGCAAUCAAUGCAUCUUCCUCAAGUACUUUGUUUCUCAAACUUAGUUUAGUGUGAGCCUUAGACAGUGAAAUCCUAAAAGAUGAAUACAAGCAUAUCAGAAAUAAACAGUGCACCCAUGAAUGCCUGUUUAAAAUACUUUUGUAAAGUGGAAGUUAACACUUGAGUGCUUGUUUCUAUACUUAAGCUGUGUAAACGUCCCACAAAUACUGUGCACUUGUACUUGUCACUAACAAAGUAUGUAUUAUUGUGUGACUUUCUUGCGCUGUGAAAGUUGUAGAACUUGGCAUAUUAGCUAAAGACUUUUUUUUUUUACUUGGCAUAUUAGCUAAAGACUUUUUUUUUACUUGCACAACACAAAGCUGUGAUAAUUUAGGUGUCUUUUCUGUUUUUCUAGAUAGCUUCAGCAGUGAUAAUUGUUUCUUAAAUCACUGGGGUUUGCCUGGCAAAGUUCUUUACUUUUUUUUUUUAAACAUCAACAUAUAAAUUAAACAGUAUUCAUAAAUGGUAAAUAAGAUUAUGCUUGAGAUUUUCAAAACUUAAAUGUCUUGUCCAAAUUUUUAUUUAACAAGCUCUUGAGCAGGUUAGGAGAAUUUCUAUUUGCAACAUAAAUGUGUUUACUUUAAAAAGUAGGACAUACAGAAUUUUUAGUGCAGAUGCUGAUAAUGUUGAUCCACGAAGAGAAUCUCUUCUCAGUCUGCGACUUGCAAGAUAGUAGCCCUGAAUGAGGUUUUCUGCUUCUGAGCUCAGUUCAACGUGAAGAUUCCUAGCAAACAAAAUAAACUAGAGAGAGGGUAUACAUUUUAAAUACUUAACUGGAAAAAAAAAAAUACAUUUUUCACACAUUUUAACAUACUAAUGCCACAGUAAUAAGAGUUUGGACAACAAAUUCUACCAGUAGUUUUUAAAGAGACAGCUGUCACUAUUCAGUUAUGCAUAAGGAUAGAUUUCAGAUACUAAACAGAAUCACCCAUUAAUUAUACUAGAGAUACUGACAGUUUGUUUAGAAUGGAAUGUUAACUUUUACUACUGAUUAUAAAUUUGUCAAAAGUAGGUAUUGGAGACCUGUUCUCACAUGAAUGUUAGCCUAUGCUUUUCAGAAACAAUAUUGAACUGAAUUUAUGAAGUUGGCUCUUUUAAAGAACUGAAGCUAAUGUAUCAAUGAUCCUAUUAGCACUAGUGGGAGUAUGGGGGAGGGCAACGGGUAGGAAGUGAGUAUUAACAGAUUUAAAAAUAAGCAAUGUGAAUGUGUGAAGAGAACUUUCUGAUUCCAGCAAUAGUAUGAAAUUCCCAAGUAUAAUGCAUUUCUAAAUGCUUGGGCAGUAUCUGUUACCUCCUCAAAAUCCUGCAUUCGGAACUGCUGUGAGACUUUGUACAGCAUGGCUUCAGGAUUGAUAGCUUUUUUCAAGAUAUGAUGCACAAGAGGAGAAGAUAGUUGACACGAAGGAAACUCAUUGUAUAUCAGAAGCCCAAAAACAUCUAGAAGAUUAGGUGGAAUCAAACUCACAUCCUAAAGAAAAGAUCCAGAGAAAGAAAAUCAUUAUUUCAACUUUUUGACUUGUAGAAACGUUGCAAUUUUUUCAAUCUGAAAUGUUCAAUAUCCAUAUAUACUGAGUCCUGAAAGACAAAUUACCUAUAAUAAAUGCAGUAAAAUUUUGUUUCAAUAGUAGUUGUCAAAAGCUAUUCUGAAUAAUAAAUGAUACCUACUUCUGGGAAAGCUAGCUCAUUUUAGAAGAUACCUGAUUUAAAGUCACUUAAGUUGUGACUUUUUGGGAAGUACUAACAAAAUUGAUUGUUUUCAUUAUUUUGUAUGUUGAAAUAACUAUAAACACAAAUAACUGCUAUAGUACCGUUACUGUCAUAACAAGGCAUGUGCUUUACCAUCUGUCCAAUUAAAAAGUUUUCCUUUUGUAUAUGUUUCUUUGAGGAAGAAUCCACAUCUACAAAAGACCAAAAAUUGGUUUGAACUGAAAUAGUGACUUGUUGGUCAGCCUCUUCUCCGUACUUCUUUCCAGGAAUGAAUACUGUUGUCAUUCUGCUUUCCAGCACUAGGAUAGGACAAAAUAAGUCAAUUCUGUAAUUGGUGUAGUUUAACUAUAAUUUCUAGUCCCAUACACGCCAUCUGAAACCAGUUGCUAUCAUGUAUUUAAUAGAAUUGUCAGCAUCAAUGGAUCUCUGCAGUGGAGCCUGUGUAGUAGUAUAUGUAAGCUUAUAGGACCUUGGCUUUUCUGUCCUUUUCUUACACAGACACAUUAAAAAUAGUGUUAUAGAUUUUCACAGCAUUUGAGGGCCAUGAGCUGGGGAAUAAACGUAGCCAUGAGUUUAUAUGUUGGUUUUGUUCUGUCCCCUCAUUUGUUAGCAUGUGUGAGAUUACCGGACUGUAGGAGUUCAAGUUUAUCCUUUUUGUAUGAAGAUAAGUCUCCUAUGUAACAGACACCACCCUUAGCCAGGACAGCACUGCAAGCUUGGAUACUGGCACUUCCAGUUCCGUGUUUAUCUUUGGACACAGAAGGAAAAAUGUCACUAGAAGGUGGGUGUCGUAUGCCACGAGGCAGAAGACAUAAGCUGUAAUUCAGAAGCCUAGGGGAUUAAAUAAUUUUCAGUCAUAAUUGUUAAAUUAUUCAGUUUUUCAAAACAAUACUACACUUAAUACUGUAUAAUGGUAUUUAUAUAUAUUAAUACUCACUUAGAAACAACAACAACAAACCUUAACAUAAAACUAGUGUCAAAACAAAACAUUUAACUUUGAAUACAAAGGUAGAAGUCCAAGUAUUCUGUCCAAAAGCCACCAAUCAGACUGUAUUUCUUAUGGAUUUAACAUAUGAGGCAAUUUGUGGUUUGUAACAGAAGUAACUCCUAGAAAGUCAAAGAAGUCGCAUAAUUUAACUCCAUAUUAUUAACUCCUAUUCCUAUUAUAGAGAAACUUUUCCAGUGAUUUACAAGGGUACAGGAUUUGCAAUCCUGGCCAUUUGGGAAAAAUGAAAGGGCUGGGAAUGUGCAAGCUCUGCCUGCCUGGUUUACCCUCCCGCUCCCUCUCAAAUUCUUUUGGAGCAAGCAGGUAUAGAAAUUUCUUUUUCAUCCCCUGUACUAUGUUUCUUGGCACAAAGAGGUUGCAAAUUGUCUGUCUGGUUCCACAAUCAAAGGCUCCUAAUGGUUUUUAAAUGUCAGGGCAUAAUUUAUCCUGCUAUUAAUAACUGAGAUAAAAUUAUUGAUUAAUGAGAAUAAAUAGGCUAUCAUACCAAUAUAAAUAUGAUGUAGGAAAUGCCUAUUUUGACAGGUUGCUGACAAAUACUACGUGCACAUGCAAGACAGUACAAAUGACAGUACUGACCAAGAUUUACAGUGUGCAACUGUUUUAAUAUUAAGCAGAUGUUUUGAUUCUCAAAACACUCUGAGUUCCUAUGACUUCUCUUAUGAAAUCUUUCCCAACCUGGGGGAAAAAAAAAACCCAGCCCACAUUAUUUUCAACUUUGAACUAAUUUCUACAGCUCUAUUUUGAAAUGGUUAAGAAAAUAUUUUUCCCCAACUAAAAAAUACCAACGAAUUUGUUGAAGAACUGUCAAAUGGAAAUAAAAUUCAUGCCACUUUCAAAUAUAUUUUUCAAAAAUAAAAAGAGAAUCCCUGUUUUCAGUUGGGGAAGGAUAAAGGAAUUUUGUUCAAAUUAAAAGCUGAGCAUAUUAUAAUUUUUUGCAGUAUAUGCAAAAAUGUGUUAACAGCUUAUAAUUAUGUGACAUGGUAAAUACAUAAGAUGCAGAAAUACAGAAAAACAUUUUUCUAAAGGUAGCAACAGCCCGAUUUGUUACCUACAUGUAAAGAUGCAUGUGACUUUUGAUACUUUAUCAGUAUAGUUUUUAUUAAAAAGAGUGACAUAAAUGUAUAUAUUUACACACCACUUAUUAACCAAAAAUGCCAUUGUUAAUAGGUGGGAAGUGGUGAUGAAAAAGCUCAAGAUUUGAAAAGUAGAGCCAUUUGCUUUUAUUAUAUCAUCACCAGCUUCUGGGACAGUCUUCAGUUUUAGAAGAAUGUUUUGUUUGAUCUCUGCUAAACAGGGCUAGUGUUAAAAUCUUAUUGAGAACAUUAAGAGGGUGUUAACGGGCUUUAUUAUUAGUGAAGCUGUGACCCAGAUUUACCACUUGAAAUAAAUAAGUGUAUUUGGGUAUUUUUACUAAGUUGGAGCCCUGCAUAUUCUUUUAAAAUACAGUCUCUUUAACCUUUCAUGUAAGGCCAAUCCUAUUAUCUUUAAAAAUACUCAUGUUUUUAAUUCUAAUUUACGUGAAGAAUAAGGAAUCUUUACCUAUCAAUUACUAGUGUGUCGCUUGUCACAAUCAACAGAUCCAGAUAAUUUGCAUUUUCUUUUUCACAUGUCUGUACUAGGCUCAGCAAUAUAGUGAGUUUGAGAGUAUUGCAAGUGCCUGGUGGGACAACUUGAGAAGCAAAGAUAUUGGCAAGGAUGGCGGUAAACUUCCAGCAUGAGCUUGAUGUCAGUGAGAGCAGAUACUUAAAAUUGUCACCGACAAAAGGAGGACCUAAAUAUAACAAAGUACAGGUUAACAAACACUUCACAUGAGAGCUAUGCAGAUACAUUAGAAUAAGUCAUCAUUCUAGUCUUGACACAAAACUUACAAAGAACAAAAGUUUAUGUACUGAGCACAAAUUCAGAAUGUAAACAUCUGACACUAUUAAUUUUACUAAAAAGGUAGCAGCAUGUCCUGCUAAAACUGAUGGAAUAAGAAAGGAAUAACAAACUGAAAUAUCACGUUCAUUUAAUGUAUCAUUUCAAAGUACCUUCCAAAGGAUAGGAAAAGUUGGAAACAGAAGUUGAAGAACUGAAGGAAAGAAUGAUGUAGCUUUUCAAUGCAUGGAAAUGGGGCAAAAGGUGAUCUUCUCGAAGAACAGUAAGCACACAUUUCAGACUGCAAGGGAAGUGGUUGUGUAAUGUGGACCUCUAGGUCACAGAAAACUGUACCACUUCUCAUGAUUUUGUUCUAGAAGGUUUCCCAACUUUUAAAGUCAAUUUUUAAUGAAACUCUUUUACCAUUUGGUUUACAGAGCUGUACACUAUUGACUUCUAUACAUGUUGUAGCUUGUAAGCCAUUUUGCACACAAGCUGGAAUUCCUAUAAUCUUGUAGUGGUUUCCUAUCUUCAUUUUAUUGACCAGUUCAUCUAGAAAUUUGGAAAAAAAAAAAAAAAAAGAGGGUGCUGAUGAGAGGAAUCUGAAGAUGUGUUAGGGUGUAAAGACAGCUUUAGAGAUAUGGUCAGAAAACUUAAAAUUGAACCAUUCAGAAUGUUAUUAUUUAAUUGCAGAAAACAACAGUUGGGUGCCAGGUUCACUAUAAUGGACUAGAAUAAAAUGAUGCAUACAAUUCUAAUUAGUUAGUGCAAAAGGUAAGGAAGACACAGUGGGUGAGGAAAGGCAGAUUCCUGAUUAAAAGAUAAAAAAGGAUAACACAGUUCUGCAUUGACAAGAAAAUGAAUAGUUGUUUGCAAGUAUGCAUUCCUACUCCGAAACUUGUGGUUACACCACUAUUAGUUACUGUCCUAUAAAAUGUCAAAGAAGAAAAACCACAAUAAAAAGGAAAUCCAGUAGCUUUGUGAACAUUUGUAUUUCUGUGCAUCUUUAAAAAACCAUCGCAUUUAUUUUUUGAAAAUGAGAGUUAGGUCCAACCAAAUACAAGUCUCAGCUCUGAGACCCUGUCCAAUCUCAUCAAUCACUGAAGCCAGUGGAAAUUCAAUGCAUGCAAAACUCACAAUAUCUGACCCACAGAUUGUGUUUUAUAAAAAUACAUGCACAGCAUCAGUUUUUAAGUGUAUCUCACGAUCCUGGAGCUAUUUAGUUUUCCAGAAAUGGACAAUAUAAUUCCAUAGACUUUUGGAAUAAUGUUGGUUUGGGAGUUUGGUUGUUGUUUUACGAGAACUAAUGGAAGUAUGUUGGCGAGUUGUGAUUCUAGUUGGAUAUUCUCAUUAGAAAUCAUGUAACGAUUGCAGUGGUAAGUAGUGGUAGUAGAAGCCAAAAGUCCUGAUGGAAUGCAGAAAACACCUGGACUGAGGGUGUUAAAACACAUGCAGUUAGUACAAAACAGUAUGGACAAAGGAAGUAGAAAGCAGAAAAAAAACCCCAUCUACAGUUAGUAUGUGAUACUGUGAAACUGGUCAAGAGAUUUUAUUUAUAUGAAGGUACAGAAGUGAACAUAACAGUUUUGCCAUGUGUACUCUUCAAUCACCUGUGUAUACUGUUUAACUAUCUAUCUAAUUUUAUGUAUUUUCACCCCUAAUUUUAUUGAAGAACUGCAAUAUGAGUUAUUACUUUCACUUUAUCCAGAUAAAUGGACCUAUAAGGAAAAUGCAAGUGAAUAUUACAGUUCAAUUCUAAAAUAUUUUUUGACAAAUCUCCAAAAUUCAGCUUACCUCUCAAGAAAACUGUAAAUGUCUGAAUCAUAAAAUGUGAUUUAUCGUCGGAAUAUCCUUUCAAAGCAUUAAGAACUUUUGCAUCAACCAUUUCAACUAUUUGUUUAUCUUUCAAAGUAAAGACAAAUAAAAGGUUAGUUCUUUUGAAAACAGUACAGCUUUUAUUUUUUUGUCUUCUUUUAAAUGACUGGUACAUUUUGGAGCUUUUUCCACUUAACCAUCUUGUUUACUUAUUAUGUAACACAAGUAGGAAAGUAACAGAUCUAAAAAUAAAACUACAUAGAUCCUACCACCAAGUACUCUAUAUUUCAUGUCUUCCUGCAGUGGUGAAGAACACAAGCUACACACAAAAUCAUUCCUCACUGUGGCAGAUUCUGUAGCUCCAGGCAGAUGCACUCUUAUAUAGCUAAACCCUAAAAAGAAAAAAAAACUGUCAAGGAGGAAACGCCUUUCAUUUUAAAUUUCCCUUUAUGAAGAGACUAAAAUACUGGACAGUGAAAUUCCAAAUUUAUCAUGCAUUUCUUCGUAUGAGCGCCUGUUGGCAUACUGUGGUUCCACUGAAACGAUCUGAAUAAUUUAUUCCAGGUUGACCACAGGAUGGCAGAAUUUCCCUCGGCACCCCCCCAAGCGGCACAGCUCGGCCUUUCCGAGCGGGAACGAGCGGCUGCCGCUGGUGCCUGGCGGGCAAAUGACAGGGGAGACGGAUACUCAUUAUUAGAGUCGUGCACGAAUUUCUGAAGGCCACCACUUCUGUCAAGGUAAACAAGGGAAAUUUCCCUCAUUUUCUGUAUUUCAUGAUGCAUUCUCCAAGAAAGAUCUUCGCAUUCUUUAUCAAAAUGUUGGAAUAAACUGUGAAGAAACAACAUUAGAACUGGCCAUGCAACAAUAAUAAUGAAGGUAUGCAUUAAACAAGCCAUAAAAAUGAAAAUAAAUAGUCUCUUUUUCAAACUUUGCGAUUCUUUAAGGAUUUUUAAACUACCACAAUUCAGUGGAAAGUUCUUUCUAAUGGCUGAAGCAUACUACAUUCCCAAAGUAAAUUCCUGAAUGAUGCUCUAGUCCUUUCUUUUCUCAGUUAAUUAUUUUGCUGCCCAAUUCCCUAACCCAUGAAAUUAAAGCCUGCAGUUAAUUUAACCUCUCCUGUGUAUUUUAUAGGUAUAAUAAGCCUACUGAAAGUAAGAUUUAAAUGUCUGCCUUAUUUGAGAAGCCUGUCAUAGCUGUGAAGUUUGAAACUGGGCAACAUCUUUUCCCUUUUUAAAAUCUGAUUCCCUGCUCUGCUGUUACCACCUUUAGCACCCACUUAAGGUGUCAAUCUUCCAAACACUUAUUUCCAGCAUAUACACAGAAAAAUCAGUUCUCAAAGACAAAACCUUCACAACAGUUUUGGUUUGGAGGCUGACCACGCUCUUCAGUGCUGUUUUCAUUGUGUACUACCCACAUCUCUACAUAUUUUUUCAAGUAAAAUCUCAUACCGUGAAGCAGUACUUGCUGAAUUUAGAAGGAGAAUCACACUACAGCCGAAAUACGGUAUUUUGUAUAUACGUAUCUGGUUUACUGUCUUAGAGAUUUUCUUCUACAAAGUGUCCUUUGUCCUCUCUGUAGAUGACCAAAAUUAAACACCACUUAAAUCUUCAAAAGUAGAUUUUGCUGCCUGGUAAAGGACAAGACACAGAAUUAUUGGGCUGAUGGGGAUGCAAAGCUCAUAGCAUCUGAAGGAUGUCCUGUGGGAGUUCACAGAACUGCCUUCAUCCAAGAGAGGAGUAAUUGGAUACCAGUGCAACCUGAGUGUGGCAGCAGUGUAAAUCCUGUCCUCUGAGAACUGCAUGCUCUGGGCUGGUAGAUGUGUUUAGUGGCCUGAAGUAUCAAAUUUUAAGAACAAGUUGAAAGAUAAUUUAUAGUAGAGACUUGUUUUUUUCUCAGGAUUUUCUUUAGGAUUACUCCUACACGACUACUGCCCUUGAAACCUUCAGCAAGAAGGGAUUAAAGAAGCGCGCGCACACACACGCACACACACACACACACACACACACAGAUCCACUGUAUUUCCCCAGACCCUGUGUUCUCCUGGCUAGAAGGACACCAGACAGGACUAGGAAGGACUAAGCGAUGGCCCAGGUCAUUCUGCACUAACCACUGUCAUCUCCUAACCUUCACAAAAUAAAGUCUCACCAGUCCCACAGCCUGAACGUGGGGUGACCACGUUCAUCCGUUCCCCCACAGCCGGGUAACCCCCCUCAGCUGCACUUCAGUGUGUGCCAGGGCACGAUGCGCAAAGCCUCCCCCCCGGCUUCAGGCUCCUGCCAUCAGCACACCUUCCUCACAAACCCCACCGGCGCUCUCCCCAGAACAUUCCCCAGGCUUCCUACGCGCCCCUCUUCAGCACCGCGGUGUCGGCAACAACGGGCACUGAGGGCGACACCACAGCGGGGAGAGGGGACAUAAAGCUUUCCCCCUCGACAUUUAGGAGGCGGCAACGAGGGGCCCGACGACCGCAGGACGGAGCUGCCGGUACCGCUCCCGCACCCCUCAGGCGGCAGCCGUUGGCGCGCUCGGGGACAGCCGUUAGCCCGCGCGGCGCGGGCGGGAAAUGCUCCCGCUCCGCCCGGCAGCCGCAGCCCUCACGGACACCGCCACCGGUGCCGAAACGGCUCCUCUCCCCGCCCCUCACCCACCGCUGCACAAGCGCACCCGCCCCAUUGAACAUACAGUCCCUGUGGAGGGCGCUGCCUUCUCUUUCUUGCGGGCAGAGGCUUAGGCACGUCACUAGAAAAGGGACAUGUACUGACAGGGGAGCAAGUACUGAUACACAACGUCUUUAUAAAACCCUUCUCUCCCUUUCAUUAAUCAAUAUUGCGUAUUUAACUGUUGCCUUCAGCAUGCCAGCCAUUUGUAAACUUACCGCUUAGGACAGCGCCUCUGAACAAUUUUUCUGUUGUAUUUCAGUUCGUAUUUUUACAACUGCCAUGCCCUUCUGCCCCGUUCCUUUGCUUCCACAGCUCCAGGAGAGAAGGCUGCUGCUCACAGGGUUCAGCUGCACCUCUGAAGGGGAGGAACAAUCCCCUUUCACCAGGGUCAGGCAAACCCCCCUGCAUUAGUCACAAAAAGACAAUUUUUACCUCCUUUUAUUACAUAUCUACCAAAACAGGAAAGGAAUACCACAGGUGUUUCCUGUGUAGGUUCUUCCACAGUCUCCUACCACAACUGGUGCUUCAGAUUUCACUUUUCAGAUUAGCAUCAGGUGAAGGGGCUACUCUACAUGGUAGAGCAGCAUCAUCUUACUUUGACAACCAGCAUCAUGAAAUGCAGAAUAAGAGCACUAGAUGCAAAAGUGUUGUGAGGCUUCAUUGCCUGAUGUUGCACACAGAGUCUGUUAUCUUUACAAGUCCUGAUCUGACCCAGGCAUUUCACAACAUGAACUUACAGCAGAAGGAAAAAAGCGAACAGAAGUAUUGCAAGUGUGAUACGUUUAACACAUUCACAUUUCACCAAAAAGGCAGAGCCUGCUGAAAGAAAAAGCUUAAUAAGCAAUUAUUAAGGUGCUCUCCCAGAAAUAACUUCAACUACCAUUGCCAUAUUUUUUUUGUAUUAGGAAAAAAACAAACAAACAAACACAAAAGCCACCAAAUUUCUGAGCAAAAAAAGGCCAAAACCCAAACCCCUUCACCCAGUCAGGCAGCUAGGUAUAGAUAUCUUUGAAAUACAAGACAAACUAAAACGGGUGCUAGCUCCCACAGCAACAACUUCACAAGUAUCCCUCCUCCUCCCCAUCUCCCUACAGUAAUGUACCUCCUCCUGGGAGAAGCAGAAAGCAGCUUGAGUAUGUGUUUCCUUGCCAUAAAGAACAGGUAGUUACAUUAGCCCACAUUUCAGACCUACAGAGUAAAAAUGCAGUAUAAGAAUGGAUACUUGCUAUCUUACAAUCAUUUGGAAGCAACAG